rnacentral:lncRNA from 1 species
GAGGUUAUGGGUGCCGUGAGGUCGAACAUGCAAUGGGAGAAGAUCUGCAAGGAAGACUCUACUUUAAGGCAUUCGCUAUUCAUGAGAGGUAAGAAAGGCCUGAGAAGAGAGAGAAAUUCAGAAACAGAUCGAAGAAAGUUUUAAAGUGUUACAGGUGCCACAAGACUGGAUACUUCAAGAAGGAUUGUCUGUUGUGGAAGAAAGGAGGA